CUGCCCGAGGUGCGUGCCAGCCAGGCCAGGCUGCCCUUUCGCCCCCUGCGCGGUUAGCACCACCCGAAGCCGAGACCCACGUGGCCUCCCCAGCCCGCCCACCCCGGAAGCCUGGGACGAGAGAGCCCGAGACACGGAGGCCGCGCGCUUACCUGAGGAGAAAGGCGAGAAUGCAGCAGGAAAAGUGGUACAGUAAUACAAUGGAAUACAAUGCAGCAAUGAAAAAGACGAAAGCCUGCUACACACAUGCACCCAAUGUGGAGUGAAAGUAGCCAACAGAAUAAAGAAACAUUUAUGCCCUGGCUACUGGUGUGGCUCAGUGGGUUGAGCACUGGACUUCGAACCAAAGUGCUGCUGGUUCAAUUCCCAGUCAGGGCACAUACCUGGAAUGCGGGCCUGGUCCCCAGUACAGGGCAUGCAAGAGGUAACCACACAAUGAUAUUUCUUUCCUCUUUCUCUGUCCCGCCUCCUCUGUCUAAAAGAUAAAUAUAUAAAGUCUUUAAAAAAUAAAUAAACAUUUAAAAAUGAAACUUACCAUCUUAAUCAUUUUAAGGGUACAACGUGGUGGCAUUAAGUACACUCACAAGGUGUGCAACUAUUCCCCCCAUCCAUUUCCAGAACUUCCUCAUAUCCAGAACUUUCUCAUAUACAGAGUUUUCCCAAUCUGAAACUUCAUCCCUAUUA